GUCAAAUGUAUUUUGUAAAUUAUUAUUAUUAUUUUUUGUAUUGAGCUACAUUGUCACUGUUCACUUUGUCAGUAUGUUUUGUGUAGCUGAGGCAAUGUAGCAUUAGAAGUCACAAAUAGCUUGGUGUAUAAUUAUUGACAGCCUUGUGCGUUACUAUUAAUGCAAUAGAACAAUAGAGCUGUAGCUUGGCUUGUAGUUGUUGAGAAUGACUGUAGAGUGUGGGUAUGAAAUACUGUGUGGUGCAUGCUUUGGGAGCUUGGGUGUGAGUAGUUUUGGUGAAUAAAAGCAGUGUGGUGUAGUGUACUGGUCACUGGUAACACAUUCUUUGGUAGAGACGUUUGGAAAAAUAUAUUGGAACGAGAUAUGUGGGUGUACAUUAAAAGCUGGUAUAAGAGCUUUUUAUGCUACGUGAGAUGUGCCCAGGUGUGGUGGAAGUUAUAACAAGAGGUGCGUCACGGGGUCAGGGCUGUCUUUUGUGAUGUUGAGGGGUCUCUUAGUUCGUAAGAGAUAAUGCAAUGGAAAACUGGAUGGAGAGCUGAGAGAGGUGGUGAAUUCGGUGUUUGGUGUAUCUAAGUAGAUACUAGGUGCUCCGUGGACUGAGAACUGGUUACUUGUGUAAUAACAUGACUUUGCAACUUGUGUGAUUCAUUGAUAGUUUGUUGGUGGACUAUUAUGCAAUAUUAUGUAAUAUUAUGUGACGACAUAAUAUUGUAAACUAUUGUUGUGAAUUUGGUGUGAAUGGGAUGCGGGAAUGAAUGAUUGUGUUAAAUAUGAAAUCGAUGGGUGGUAUGAAAGGGUAUGGUGUGUUAUAUUUGUGAAUAUUUAUGAGAUUAUUGUAAAUUAAAAUUAUUGUUUAUA